GCAUGGGUUUGGAUUUAUGGCCGGCCCAGCCCCAUUGGCCUCUCAUUGUGUCCCAUGCCAGAGCAAACUGUAGCCCUGAACCAUUGCCUUGCCUCUCAGCCCGUAGGCUUCUGAUACUGAAGUGGGUUGCACAGUG